ACAUUGCAAAAACGGCUGUAUUGAAGGAUGGUCCGGAGAACGCUGUGAUAACUCCGUACCACAGACCCAGACGAGUACAUCACAGACGCCUGGCUUAGAGGUACCCUCCUAUGUACUGUAUGUGGCGCUCAGCGUGUCUUCUGUUAUCAUCCUGGGAGCUGGUGUAAUUGUUCUGGUCUGCUGUGUGAGGAAAAGACAAGGAAAGAGGAGUUCAUCAACGAAUUCGGAUAAAAACGAACGAGGUGAAAACUCCAAGAUAUUCAAUACUGAACACGAAAUAUAUGAUUCAAUAUAUGAAGAACCAAUAGAGCAAAAUAACGAGAGGCCACCAUCUUACCACACUGCAGAGCAUAUGUAUGA